rnacentral:rRNA from 1 species
UACAGAGGGUGCGAGCGUUAAUCGGAAUUACUGGGCGUAAAGCGUGCGCAGGCGGUUCGUUGUGUCGGCGGUGAAAGCCCCGGGCUUAACCUGGGAAUGGCCGUUGAAACUGGCGAACUGGAGUGUGGCAGAGGGGGGUGGAAUUCCGCGUGUAGCAGUGAAAUGCGUAGAGAUGCGGAGGAACACCGAUGGCGAAGGCAGCCCCCUGGGUCAAGAUUGACGCUCAUGCACGAAAGCGUGGGGAGCAAACAGG